rnacentral:rRNA from 1 species
CGCUUUCAGCUCUAAUUGAAAGUACAGCCUGCUCAAUGAUCAUUUAAAUAGCCGCAGAAUAUUUACUGUGCUAAGGUAGCACAAUCAUUUGCCUUAUAAUUUAAGGAUAGUAUGAAAGGCCACACGUAUUUUACAUUGUAUCUAUUCUUCCUAAUAAAACUAAACUAAAAGUAAAAAUGCUUUUAAUCUAAAGAAAGACGACAAGACCCUGUCGAACUUCACAUAAGUUCAGCUGGGGCGGCUAUUUAAUACAAACUUAAACUCUCACCCUCCAAAGAACCUUUAUUACAGAUUCAUGAACAAGUUACCGCAGGGAUAACAGCAUUAUUACUUUUUGAAGCUCUUAUUUAAAAAGUAGCUUGUGACCUCGAUGUUGAAUAAGAACCCUAAUUCAAGCAAAAAUAAAUUAAGGAAGUCUGUUCGACUUUUAAUCUCUUACA